GCGCCCGUAGCUCAGCUGGAUAGAGCAGCGGAUUUCUAAUCCGCUGGUCGCAGGUUCGAGUCCUGCCGGGCGUGCCA
rnacentral:tRNA from 1 species